AAUCUCUCCCACAAAAGCGCACGAGGCUUUCAAGUGACACAAGACCGCCUUUACCGAUUCUGUAUCGGGGGUUUCCUGUUCCCCGGGUCACAAGACGCCUCUCGAUUGACGGGGCGCGCAAAGCAGACCAGCUGGACUACUCGACGAACUCGCACACGCUGUCGCCGGAGGAUAUCGACAAGGUCUCCAGGCCGCGAACCGUACGAGGAGACAGCGACAGCUCCUGUACGCGAAAAACGAGGAAUGCCGACUGUCCGAGCACCGGGGUUCUUGAGGAACCGCCAGCGUUGUGUCCGUUCCCGGGGUUCUGCGGAGUUCGCAGACAUCACGAGAUCGCGUCUCCCCCCGUGCCUGCCCAGCCAGUGCGUCCCCCCGUUGGUGGAUACAGUUUUUUCGCGCGGAACGGCUCGAAACAUGGACGGUGGGGAAAAUGCGAAGCCAGUACGGUCGAGUUCUCGCAGAGAGAUGCCUUCACUGCGCUUUUCCGGGACCUCAGAGGCGACGUGGGACGCGCGCUGCGAUUCGGCAACAAAGCCGCGACGGUGAGAUCCGCCCGGACGGGCGACGAGUUCGCCGGCGGAAAACGGCCUCAGGGACAGAGGGGGACAUCGCGACUGGCGCCGCCAGCAGCGCGUCGUCAGCCCAUUUUCGCGGAGGCGCGGGGGAGAAAAACGUUCGUGGUAUAUCGCGGCGAUCUGGACGGCGCAGCUGCUUCAUUUCACGCGCCACACGCUCCGGGUCCGUGCUCGGGCGCACUGUUUCGCGGUAGAAGGGAGACACAGCCAGGACACUGGACGUCGUCCGGAGUAAAAGAAACGAAACACACCACUUGAAAAGACUCAGGGCACGUGGCCGCGGCGGACGCUUUUUCGCGGAGGAGGUUUGCAUUCUCUCUCCCCAGUCGGAUCCGCGGGGCUCCGCGGUGUAUCGACAGCACCUGCCUUUCUCCCUCAGGAUUGGCCUUUGUACUCAAAAACGCACAGAGUUGGAGCACAUUGCUUCAUUCGAUCGUCCCCCCCUCAUUUUGUGAUUCCACGCUGGUGUAGGAAGUCAGAGUCUGGCGGGGAAGUUAGCGUCGAAGCAACAGUGCAGACAACUCGUGGAACAGCUAGCGGCAGUCUUCUGGGGGAUGUAGAACCGGCACCGGCGCGUGUGACGCAUCUCGCCGACUGUCAGGUCGUGUCACACUCGGACUGUGGAGAACAGAAACGGUGCAAAGCUCUGCGAAGGCGGCCUCGACGCGCAGUCUGGGUGCUUCGCACUCGCGUGUCAGUGCAGGUGCGGGCUCGCCGGCGGCAACGGCGUAUACUGCAAGUCGAGAAGGGGGAGAUUCGACGAAAACGAGAAAGCACUCUUGCGAGACUAACGCUAGCGCCAGUGCAGUGUGCUCGACGACCGACAGCGCCCAACGCCUCGAUUUUGGUGACGGCACCGGCUUUACCAGUUGCUCAAGACUACCCUCUCUCUUGCUACGGUCUCCACGAGUUGUGCUGCUGAACAUGAGACUUGCGCGCUGUGCCCGUGCUGUCCACUGCUGAACUGCCGUGUUGUCGGAACGACACGAGCGCGGAGACCACAAUUCUUUGUCAUAGUGAUAGUUUGCUUGCUCGGGCACUUCGCCUUUUGCCACUUUGCAAAACGCAAAUCCGAGCACACACAGUCCCUUCGUCGACGGCCACAGCCAACGUUGCUGCUCUCAGCCCCGGUCUCUGUUAAGAAGAUCGAGGAGGGGAAGUCUCUCCCCUUCUCGCAAUCGACAAAAAAGCGAGGAGUCGCUUCCGCCUUAAGUCCCCAGAACAAGGAAACAUCGCUGCAACCGGCACGCCUCCUCCACAUGUCUCCACAAUCGGCAUUUGCCUCUAGAGUUCGAUCCUCGUCCCGGGAACGGGGUGGUGCAUGAUUUUUGCUCUUUGUGAUCUGGCGUGCAAGGCCUCCGGUGGAGAUCACCUGUCUCCGCGCGGUGUGUGGACGAUCAGGGAAACAUCGACGACCUGGCGUUUCCUUUUUUAGGUCCGAGUUUGAAACCGGAGCGACGGCCUCUCUACGCAUCCGCAACUUUGGUUCUCGCAAAAAGCGAACCGGAUUCGGAUGCACACGGCGUCGUCGCCUGGAGCCCAAGAUGCCGGCGGGCACUCUUCCAGAUGUAUGCCAUUCUUCCAGAGCUGUAGUUCGAGAGGCGCUUUACAUGCAGUGGCAUACCUGCUACCAGGCGUGUGUUUGGGUGUACUUCCGCGUACGUGCGUCUGCCUGAAGCUGCCUAUUCACCUGUGUAUAUUGAAUAGACGCGGUAGUAUACGGCUGCUUGCUUGUGCGAAUGUACAUACGAACCGUCCGGGGAAAUGUGCCUAGGCUUGCGUGUCGGAAAGAUUUGUCAGCCAAUCCCCUUUCGUGGCGCUUGUGUGCGUCCUGAAACCGCAGUUCGAUUGGCUGAAUGCAACCCGCAGAAACAGAAAUCACC
rnacentral:lncRNA from 1 species